rnacentral:rRNA from 1 species
GGAGGAAAGUAGGGGAUCGAAAGACCUUAUGCUUUUGGAGCGGCCGAUGUCUGAUUAGCUAGUUGGUAAGGUAAUGGCUUACCAAGGCGACGAUCAGUAGUUGGUCUGAGAGGACGACCAGCCACACUGGGACUGAGACACGGCCCAGACUCCUACGGGAGGCAGCAGUGGGGAAUUUUGGACAAUGGGCGCAAGCCUGAUCCAGCAAUGCCGCGUGAGUGAAGAAGGCCUUCGGGUUGUAAAGCUCUUUCAGUCGAGAAGAAAAGGUUGUGACUAAUAAUCAUAACUCAUGACGGUAUCGACAGAAGAAGCACCGGCUAACUACGUGCCAGCAGCCGCGGUAAUACGUAGGGUGCAAGCGUUAAUCGGAAUUACUGGGCGUAAAGGGUGCGCAGGCGGUUCUGUAAGUCAGAUGUGAAAUCCCCGGGCUUAACCUGGGAACUGCGUUUGAAACUACAAAGCUAG